GUGAGAAUGUUGGCAUGAGUAGCGAGAUGUGGGUGGGAAUCCCACAGGCCGUAAACCCAAGGUUUCCAGGGGAAGGUUCGUCCACCCUGGGUUAGUCGGGACCUAAGCUGAGGCCGAAAGGCGUAGGUGAUGGACAACAGGUUGAUAUUCCUGUACUACCGAUAACCGUUUGAGAGAAGGGAUGACACAGUAGGAUAAGCUAAGCACACUGUUGGUUAUGUGUGCCCAAGCAUUGAGGCAGUCAAAGUAGGCAAAUCCGCUUUGAUAAUGCUGGGAUGUGAUGGGGAGCGAAAUUUAGUAGCGAAGUAGCUGAUUUCACACUGUCAAGAAAAGUCUCUAUCGAGGUUAAAGGUACCCGUACCGCAAACCGACACAGG
rnacentral:rRNA from 1 species